UCUUUUGAAUUCUGUGGAACUUUUUUCUUCUCUUGUGGACCAUCACUUAAAGUUGAGCUGUUUGUUACUUGUUCACAUUAUGGGCAUUUUUUUCCCUCAUGCUUGUGUAUUGGUUAGUACUGUGCUUGUGAUGUAAUAUCAUUUUUUUUUUCUGCAGCAUGUCCAAUUCUGAGGAAGAUACCUCAUGGACUAUUGAGAGAGAAUGUCAGAGGUAGCUGGAGACACAUGGAAGAAUUACCUUCACCAACUGCAACUACACCCUCUUAGAACUAAGGAUUCAAAUCCAAGCUACCAAACUCAUUUUAUGGAUUUCAAUGCAAAUGUCUUAUGGGCCACAGAUUUUGGUGACAUUGUUAUAUUAAAUGUAAGGCAUGUUUGGAUGCAAGGCAUGCUCAGUUGAAUUGAACUAAAGGAAACAAAGAAAAAUGGAAAAAAAACAAUCUUGAAUCAGGUAUCAUUAUUCUGAUUUGAAUGAUGUUGGCAUUGCAUAUCAUGUAUUUUAAUUCAGACUCCAAAUCAUCUGAAUUUGCAGUUUCGGUCUUUUUCCCUCUAGCAGUGUGCUUGCUACUCGUUUUUUGUCAAAGCAAAUGCUUUUUUGAAUUUGAAUGAAAUUAAGGUCCUGCUUCCCACCUAAAUGUAACUAAAUGGCGAUUUCGACUACUACCCAUUUAAUGUCUGACAAAAGAAAUGCUUCUAGCCGUCCAAAUCUCCCAACAACAUUGAUGGCAUGGCCUAAAUGAUUAGGUUUAGAUACUUCUAGCCAUUUAAACAAUCCAUUCUUCCCCUAUAAAAUGUAAGUCAUUGUCCAUCCAUUUGCCAUUCUCCUCUAACCUUUGAGGUGUGUUUGGAUACAUAAUCCAUGCAAAAAUGGAAAUUGCUUUUCAUUGACUUGCAUUUUGUACUGUUUUAGACGAUGAAUUAUAUGUCUAGAUGAAAUUUACAAUGAUCAUAGAUCUAAAAAUAUCAUGAUAUUUUGACCAUCUAAUAUCAUGUUUGGGAUCAUGUAUUUAGAAAUAUGUCUAGAUUGUCAUGUAUACAGUGUGCAUAUAAAUGAACAUAUGGAUAAAAUACAUGCUUGCUUGUUGGUGCUUCCUGGUGAAAGGGUUGAAGGCCUGAUUUCUUCUACAGGGAACCGACAUCUCUACAAGAUAAAUCAGACACUGACUGGCAGUAACUGUAAAAAAGUUUACAGAUGCUGGAAUUUGCAUUCGAAUGCUGGGAAUUGUGAUCAGAUUGCUAGAUUUUUUUACAGUUCUGGAAAACUAUUUUCUUACAAAGGUAUUUAUAUUGGAAAUAUUCUAAGACUCUUAACAAAUUAAAUACAAUAGAAAAAAUAGCAAUUGAAGUAAAUGGAUGUUCAAUAUCACUUUAUGAGGAAUCAUCACAAACAACCAGUUGCAUGUGAAGUUCACAUGCAAGCCUGCUCAUAUGCCAAAGUGUCAUGUGUAGGACAUCUGAGCGAUGCAUAAGGUGGGACUCACUAUGACAAUCAUCUGCUGCAAAAAACAGGUGGCCUUCAUCUUAUGCAUAACCUGAUGUGUCAUACACAUGACAUGAACAGGGUUUCAUCUGAAGUUCACAUGCAACUGGUUGUAGGUGAUCAUUCCUACUAGUAUUGAAUUGACUGUAAUGAUGGUUAUGUCUUUGAAUAAUCCCAGAAAGUUCGGCGCAAGAACUCGCUCAGAUGUUUAUCCAAGAGUUGGCUUUGGAGUGAAUAACAGCAAAAAAUGCUCUGAACCAUGAGUGGUUUAGUGAGGUCUCUCUGCCCAAAUCAAAAGAUUUCAUACCGACAGUUCCUGCUCAACAUGCCCAAAACAGG